UCUUAUCAUCGCACUCCUCAAGCGCUCCCCGCCUUGCUCUGCCGCGGCCAUGCCUCGCCGCCACAAGUCCACUGCCCGAGAUCCCAAUCGACGCUCCGGCCUGAUCUCCAUUUUUGGCCUUCGGUUGGAGAUCGACACUUUUCGGUGACGUCCCUUUGGCUACACGACCACCCAAUCAGGUGUUUGGGUCUUCGAUUUGGGUCUGUAGCGUUGGAGAUACCCCCUUCAAACUACUACCGGUCCGGAAGCCGUGCCUCCUAGCCACUCACGCUCGCCGUUCGUGAUCCGUUCUCGACUGUUGGUGCUCCGGACUCAUAGUUCUCUAGUCCAUAUUGAUGGCUACAUUAUCAUGGUUGAUGGAAUGGUCAGUGGAGAAUGUUUGUGAGGCAUUUUUCUCCUAUUUCGGGGAAAAUCAGCAUGUGAGAUUGCCAUCUACCCCAGUGAUCCCCGUUGAUGAUCCGAAGGUGCCCCUUCUUCAUACAUGUUUGCACCGGUUCAAGGGGACCCUUGGUGGCAGAGAGAGGCAUCGCACCUGCUUUUCGCCGAGGUGCAUUAUUGCAAGUGGUGACGAAGAUUUGAUUGACCGCUUCAGAAUUGACGCUACUUUCCAUCGACUCACAGAGAUCCUUGGGAGUUGGUCUCAUGGGUACUAUUUCAAGGAGGAAGCUAUUGGCUUGUUAUUUAGUCUUCUCACCGAGGUAACAGCGAAACAACUUAUGCUUCCCCAUUGUUUCUAUGUAUUCUUGUUUUAUAAGUUGUGUUAGUAGUGAAAGGCUUGGGUAUAGUUUAUGAAGUAAGAAUUGUAACACAGUCUAUGGAUCAUUUCAAACUUAGUGUUAGCUCCAGGGUCAACUUUUUAUUUGAUAUGAUGGAAACCUGCUUAAAAGAUGACACACCUCUGCAAUUCGAGGGAGCAGCGUUAAGACAUGCUUAAAAGUUCCUUUGUGUGUGUGCACGUGAGUUGCUCCAUUAAGCUACUGCAUGGAAAAAUUAGUGUACAAUAUUGUUCUGAUGUUCUAUUUAAGGCCACCUUCUCAUUACCUAUUGAUGGCUCAUUCUUCAAUAUGCAAAAAUACAAGUUACCUCAGUCUAGAAUAUAUGCCUCAUACUUUAGUGGUGAUAUGUCCUCUUGUUUGAGUUUGGACGACGAGUCAAGAAAUACCUUACAGAAAUAUAUAGGAGCAGAAAGAAUCUUGCCUUCCAUGUCCAAGGUUGAUUUUUGGAUGGCCGAUGAAACUGGUCCUUGUGGGCCAUGUAUUGGUUUUUUCCAUGAUUGUUCGGACAACAAUGAUGGUGUUGAUUCCGUAAGGAACAUAACGAAUGCCAAGCUUGUUGAGAUAUGCCGUCUUGUGUUUGUUGAGUUCGAUCGGCAAGCAGAUGGCGUCUUGGAGCCUUUCCAAGCUAAGCAUGUCUUAACAAGGAUUAAUCUCGAAUGUUUAGCUGCCAUUCUUCAAAAGAAAGAAAGCCACUAUGACUUAGAUGUAUACGCUUAUGUAAUUCGUCAAGUCUACUCGCGUACUGGUAAAGGUUUCAAGGAUUACACAGGUAAGGUUGGUGCUGUUGAUACAAAUGGAGUUGAUACGACAUACCGCCUAGUCGCAGAUCACAUGAGAAUGAUCGCUGUUACUAAUGCACCCGGUUCUCAACUUGGUUAGAGCGUUAUGUUUCUGUUGGUCACGAAUGUUAAUAUAAUUACGACAUCAAUGUAUGGGUUUGUCAUGAGCACAAGUACAAUUAUUGGUCAUUUUCAAGGAACAAUCAGACCAAUCUGAUUGUUGGAUGACUUAUUACAUGAAUACAUUUUUUGUCAUUACAUUGUUCUUAUUAUGUUAAAAUUGUCUUUCAUCUUUAUGAAUACCAGGGUUGGGAAAUGAAGGUCGCGAGUAUUUCCUGAAGUGUGCUGAUAAACAGGCUGUGAAGUAUGGCUAUCAAGUACUUAAGAUAAAUGAAGAGGAUUACGACAUGAUGUCUUCUUCAAUGCACCGGUGCAAAUAACAGAGCAUCCAUGUUGUUGAUGAAAUUCUUCUAAAUGAACCUGAUUGAUGCAAUGAGCUUGAAAGAGAAAUAAUCGACAGAAUAGUCAAAGAUGAAGUGAUGAUCUACAAAAAGACUAAAGCAGAGUUGUGGAAUCACGAACAGCCGUUUGAUACGAGGAAAAAGAAGAAAAGGAACAAAAAUGUCCCUGCUGUUGUGUGGUAUCCGACAAGGAUUAUCGAAUUUCUUGGUCCGCGCACACCCAUUAUCCUCAAGGAAAAGGAUACAAGGUGCUCCCUUGUAGCAAUAUGCAACGUUCUCCUGCUUGGAGAGAAAAAAACCCUCGAUUUAGAUAUCAAGAAAGUGUCGGAGAGCCAUCUCAUCCAUCUUGUCCAGAGGCCCCUUUUGUGUGGCAAUACACAA